rnacentral:rRNA from 1 species
UGGGGAAUAUUGCACAAUGGGCGCAAGCCUGAUGCAGCGACGCCGCGUGAGGGAUGGAGGCCUUCGGGUUGUGAACCUCUUUCGCUCAUGGUCAAGCCGCAACUCAUGGUUGUGGUGAGGGUAGUGGGUAAAGAAGCGCCGGCUAACUACGUGCCAGCAGCCGCGGUAAUACGUAGGGCGCGAGCGUUGUCCGGAAUUAUUGGGCGUAAAGGGCUUGUAGGCGGUUGGUCGCGUCUGCCGUGAAAUCCUCUGGCUUAACUGGGGGCGUGCGGUGGGUACGGGCUGGCUUGAGUGCGGUAGGGGAGACUGGAACUCCUGGUGUAGCGGUGGAAUGCGCAGAUAUCAGGAAGAACACCGGUGGCGAAGGCGGGUCUCUGGGCCGUUACUGACGCUGAGGAGCGAAAGCGUGGGGAGCGAACAGGAUUAGAUACCCUGGUAGUCCACGCUGUAAACGUUGGGCACUAGGUGUGGGGGCCACCCGUGGUUUCUGCGCCGUAGCUAACGCUUUAAGUGCCCCGCCUGGGGAGUACGGUCGCAAGGCUA